rnacentral:rRNA from 1 species
CCCUUAGACGUUCUGGGCCGCACGCGCGCUACACUGACCAGUGCAACAAGCAUCCGUCCUUGGCCGACAGGCUCGGGCAAUCUUUGAACGCUGGUCGUGAUGGGGAUAGACUUUUGCAAUUUUUGGUCUUCAACGAGGAAUUCCUAGUAAACGCAAGUCAUCAGCUUGCAUUGAUUACGUCCCUGCCCUUUGUACACACCGCCCGUCGCACCUACCGAUUGAAUGGCCCGGUGAAAUCUCGGGACGGCGGCUUGGUCGCUUGCGUCCGACUGCUGAAACUUGAUUAAACCAUNUNAUUUAGNGGAAGGUGAANUCGUANCA